GUAGGGGGCAAGCGUUGUCCGGAUUCAUUGGGCGUAAAGAGCGUGUAGGCGGCCAGGUAGGUCGGUUGUGAAAACUGGAGGCUCAACCUUCAGAGGUCGACCGAAACCAUCUGGCUAGAGUCCGGGAGAGGAGAGUGGAACUCCUGGUGUAGCGGUGAAAUGCGCAGAUAUCAGGAAGAACACCCGUGGCGAAAGCGGCUCUCUGGAACGGUACUGACGCUGAGACGCGAAAGCGUGGGGAGCGAACAGGAUUAGAUACCCUGGUAGUCCACGCCGUAAACGAUGGGCGCUAGGUGUGGGAGGUGUCGACUCCUUCCGUGCCGCAGCUAACGCAUUAAGCGCCCCGCCUGGGGAGUACGGCCGCAAGGCUA
rnacentral:rRNA from 1 species